UUCUUACUGAUAGUAUUAAAUGAUUAUCUCUUUACAUUCACAGUAAUGUCUUACAAUAACAGAAUGCAGGAGAGCACAUAUCAAUGAAGAAAAGACAAAAUGUACUUAUCCAUGAAGCUGAGGUUAAGAAACCAGUGUCUUCAAGAGCCAGGGACAGCACUGGGUCUGUGCAGAGUUGAGAGAUGGUGAUGACAUGUGACAGAGCUCCUUGCUGCUCAAAUUUUAUGCCAGAUAAAAUAUUCACCUUCUCGGACUCCCUGGCACCAGGCAUGGCCAUGUAAUCCUACAGCACAGCUGAUGAAAGAGAAGACAUCUUGCUGCUAUUUGACAAGCAAGAAGAUAAAAGCUUUCCUA
rnacentral:lncRNA from 10 species